GCCCAUGUGGCGGAAUUGGCAGACGCAGUAGACUCAAAAUCUACCGAAGAAAUUCGUAUCGGUUCAAGCCCGAUCAUGGGUA
rnacentral:tRNA from 1 species